UACAGAGGUCUCAAGCGUUGUCCGGAAUCACUGGGCGUAAAGCGCACGUAGGCGGUUUAGCAAGUUAGGGGUGCAAGCUCCAGGCUUAACCUGGAAACUGCCUCUAAAACUACUUCACUUGAGUAUUAGAGGGGAAGCUGGAAUUCACGGGUGUAGCGGUGAAAUGCGUAGAUAUCGUGGAGAACACCCGUGGCGAAGGCGGGCUUCUGGCUAAUAA
rnacentral:rRNA from 1 species